rnacentral:lncRNA from 1 species
GGAUAUGCAUUUUGCUCCUCGAUCAUGAUUAAGAAGCGCACGAUGGAGAUCUAUAUGGAGAUAUGUACCACUCUCCGACUGUGGCUGAGGAGCGUGUGAUGGAGAUCAAUUGAAGAUGCGUUUCGCUCCUCAACCAUGGCCAAGGGGUGCAUGAUGGAGAUCCACAUGGAGAUGCAUACCACUCUUCGAUCAUGAUCGAAGAGCGUGUGAUGGAGAUCGAAUGGAGAUGCGCUUCACUCCUCGGCCAUGAUCGAGGAGCACGUGAUGGAGAUUGGUCGAGGAGCAUGCGAUGGAGAUCUACAUGGCAACACGUUCCACUCCUCGAUCAUGAUCAAGAAGCGUGCGAUGGAGACUGAUUGGAGAUACAUUCUGCAUCUUGACUGAAGUCGAGGAGCACGUGAUGGAAAUCGAUUGGAGAUGCAUUUCACUCCUCGAUCGUGGUCAAGGAACAUGUGAUGGAGAUCCGCAUGGAGAUCGUACCACUCCUUGAUCG